rnacentral:rRNA from 1 species
AGAAUCAACGCUGGCGGCGUGCCUAACACAUGCAAGUCGCACGAGAAAGGGGACUUCGGUCCCUGAGUACAGUGGCGCACGGGUGAGUAACACGUGAAUCAUCUACCUUCGAGUGGGGAAUAACUGAGAGAAAUCUUAGCUAAUACCGCAUAAUACCUACGGGUCAAAGCAGCAAUGCGCUUGAAGAGGAGUUCGCGGCAGAUUAGCUAGUGGCGGGUAUGGCCCACAAGACGAUGAUCUGUAC